rnacentral:rRNA from 1 species
AUGAUACAAGAACGUGGAGACUACAAGUCACUUGAUCCCGCUGAUAUCCUCGAGAGGCUAAACACUCAUGAGUUCCAACUUGCUGAGAAGAGAGAUCUCUAUGGACCAAGCUAUGGCAGAUCACAUGCUCUAAAGGCCAAGGCAGUCUUUGAAUCUGAAGGUGAGGAUUCUGGUAGCAGCCUUGGUGAUCCUGAAGAACUGAGCCAGGAGCUAGCAAUGCUCAUGAGGAAAUUCCAGAAGUUCUCAAGACGUGGUCGCUUUGGCAAAUCCUCAAGAGGUGAUGACAUGAGAUUAGAUUCCUCAUCCUGUGACUACAAGAAAAGAACUUGCGACAAAUCCAAGAAACCCGGUCACUACAUCACUGGUUGUCCUCAUUGA